rnacentral:lncRNA from 1 species
CUGGAAGCAAAGGGCAGGAGGGAACAGAAGAGAGCUUCCCAAGCCAUCUGCAAGCUGCUAUAAACCCAUCUACGUUUGAUGCUGGAGGGAAGCGGGCUGUACGCCUGUUGGUGCUGUCCCCAGCUGCUCGUGGAAGUCAGCGCUGCUUCGUUUGGGUUUUGCUGCCGUGUUUCCCACAGCGUGAGAGCUGUCUCAGCCGCCGCUGGGCGCCGGGUAUGUCGAGGGGCUUCAGCGGGUGGUGGGAGGCCUCCCCUCAGCGCCCCCGGGAGAACGCGCAGCCGUACG